GCCCCGCCAGCUCCGGGCCGGUCCCCCCGGGGUUCGCUCCAGGGACCCCCGCCAGGCGCAGCGGAGAAUCCCGGGACAGCCGCGGGAAUGCCUGGGGCAGGGCAGCUGGAAAGGAGGCGCCGUAGGGAGCUGGUUCCUAGAUGUGAAAGGUUGAAUGCUUGGAGUCAGCCACAGAAAAUUCGCUGCUGUCACAUCGUCCCUCACCUUGGAGGCCAGCUCAGGAUUACAGUAAUUCCUGGUGCGCACCCUUGCCACCACAGGCACAUCUGGGCAUCAUCACUCCGGGCUCAAUCAGACCUUCUGAGCAUUCACCCUCCUGUCACAGAAGAAGCAAAGGAUGCAGUAAGGCUCUGAGGAGUGAUGCUUAAUGCCUGAGGGGAGUGAGGAGCAGUGGCAUCGCCAGGCGAGCUCUUCGUCACUCUAACUUAAGGUCAGGCCUGUGAGUGCUGCAGGAACCACGGCCCAUGCAGACAUGGAAUCAUGGAAUUGUUAAGGUUGGAAAAGCCCUCUAAGAUCACUGAGUCCAAGCAGUCCUCCAGCGCUGCCAAGGCCACCACUGAACAGUGUCCCCAGGUGCCACAUCUGCACAUCUUUUAAACCCCUCCAGGGAUGGGGACUCCACCACUGUCCAGCUCCAGGGCAGGAGCAGCCAAGCACCAUGUCUUCCCAUACAGCCCAGGUGAAUUAAACUGGUGGGGUUUGGCCAGCCUGGAACUGGAUCUCUGCAUCCAUGUGGGGAAGGAUGAAGGAGCCACCUCAAUUUUAAUGUAAUAAUGGGUUUCUCUGGGAGAAAAUCAGGAUGUCCUUCCUGGGCUGAAAUUUGGAUUUAUCAAGGCAACUCUCUGCCAUUCCCCCUUGGAGAAUGGGGAAAGGAGACAGCUAGGAGAACCCAGUCCCUUUCCAGGGGGUUGUGUGGGGAUGGAAGCAUCUGAAGAGCUGUAAAUCCUGCACCCAGUGAGAGCAGUUUAUGGGGCCACAUACCUCACAUGGACCUACCUGGAGCCCAGAGAUGGGGGACGGAGCCCGGUGCCACAGCGCGUGAGAGCCUCUCUGGGUGGUGGGCACACACUGUGGAGGGCAGGCUCUUAUUAAUUACUGCUAAUUGCUUAUUUCACAUAUUGUUCUUGAUGGGCUUUUGUUGCAAAGGGCUGCUGAUAUUUUAGGGAUAUGCAGGGUGAAUCUCUGUCCAUGCAGCCAAAUCCCUGGGCUAGGGUUCCAAAGCCACCGGUGCAGCCCUCGCCAAGUGUUUCCAAACUGAAUAGUCGUUGGGUUGGCAGAUAAUUCAGAAACUAUUUGUAUGAGCUGUUUAUCAAAUUAUUAACUGCACAGAUGUUGUUUGGUUGAAGAGCAGCUGAACCUUCUCUCUGCCAGCCGCAGAGACAAAGGUCUGCAGGAAUAAUUGGAGAUGUGCAUGGAAUAUUAAAUUAAUUUACUGCUCUUAAUUCUUAUGCAAAUCCUGACCUCUGAUAGAGCCUAUCAAUUACCCUGCACACAGGGAAAAGAAAGGAAAACAGUUCCUUUCUUUUCUUUCUCCCCCCUCUCCUUUUUUUCCUGUUGUUCUCCAUUUUGGAGUUUUGUUUCUUUGUUGUUUUGUUGGGGUUUUUUCUUUUUCCUUUUGAAAGGGAACUUGAGAAAGGAAAUAUUUGUGGGAGGAAAAAAAGCCAUUUAUUUGUGGGAGAAGCAAAGGGCCAGGAUUAUUUAAGUGAAUGUCCCUGUUGCAGCAAUGUCCCCUGGGAGACUGUGCAGUUUUUAACAUUGUGGGGUGCCCCAGGGGAGGCCUGGGAAUGGAGGCCAAAGCCAGGCUGGAAUAGCUCCACAUGCUUCCCCAGGAGGGGCCCCACUCCACCAGUAACCGUGGUGGGUUGCAGUGGGAGAGGACUGGAGGCCUGGGCUGAUCCCGGCCUGGUUUUGGAGGGGUUGGGGACAGGAAGGGGCCUCUAGCUCCACUGGGAUCCAGCUGGGGUUCAGGUGGGUUAUUGGGGAAGGCUUCCUGCCCUGGCAGUGGGGCUGAUUCUGCCAGUAAUUACCAGGGAAGAAGAAAGAGAAUUUGUUGUCAUGUCUAUUGUGAGAUUCCAGGUAAAAUGAAGCAGGAUUUAAUUGGUCCUCGUUAAACAGAGCUGGGUUUCUAAUAUGAAGAAAGCCCUCGUCCAGGCACUGUUUAAUUGGGGCUGUGUGCGCAUUGCUCAGCCGGCACUUAAAGGCAGAUGCCAGGCCCUGUUCUUUCAUCCCAUUUUCUAAUAAGGAUAAAUAAACAGGAUGAAUAAUGCAAUCGGUCUCUCCCUCGACCCCUGUGAGACCCCAGCAGCGCAGUGCUGUUCACCCCAGAGCUGUUCCCUGGGAUCCAUUAAUCCAGCGUGAGCAGGAUCCCUGCACAAGAGCACCCGGUGUGGCACCGAUGGCUCUGUUAGCAGAACCCCCAGGUCCAGCUAUGGAGCAGUUUGGGGAAUUCCUUGGUUAGUGGCUGUCAGAGGGGAGCCUGAAGAGGGGAUGGGGCUCAGGGGGCAGGAGGGGAAAGAAGGGAGAAAACAAUGGAAAAUAAAAUUAUGCCUUUACUUUUUAUUUUUCCUUUUUAAUUUUUUCCCCCAUAAAUCCCAGGAAGCCCUAAGAGACUGCACUCCCCCUCCCAUGCAGCCCACUCGGGUAAUUUCAUUUAUCCUGUAAAUCUAAUUAGCAAUCCAUGGCUGACAUUAAUAGGAAUCUAAUGAGGCCGGCGAUGACCAGAUUAUCAGGCGAGCUCUGACAGAGCCUUAAAGGCACAUCGAUCCCUGCCGUUGGUGGGAGCCAGAGGGGGAAAAGCUGCUUUAAAGGGGGAGAAGAGAAGAAAAAGAAGAAAAAAGAAAAGAUGGAAAGAAAGGAAAAAAAAAAAAAAAAAAAAGACGAGGGAGGGGGAGAAAAACAUGAGGAAAACCGGUGCGGGUAGGGCUUGGCUGCUUGGCUUAUUAAGGGAGCUGGAGCUUUGCUGGAAGCAGUUUAUCCACCAGCAUCGGGCCUCCGUCCCUGCUUCUCCUGAAAUACUAUUCUGCAGAGGAGAAAAAGGAGGGCGGAAAUAGGGAAAAAAAAAAAAGAAAGAAAAAAAAAAGAAGAAGAAGCCGGAGCCCAAGGAGUUGCUGUGCAAUUUAUUCCAAGGGGUGGCUGUUGAGAAGGCGGCAAUUUGCGGCGGCCGGGGGUUAUUUAGUGCGAUAUGAAAUCAAAUGAUCCUAUUGCUUAAAUAACAGUGUCUGGGAGGAGAAGCGAGCGCGCUCCAAAGGUAAUUGUCUCCAGAUGAUAUUCCCAUUAUCCCCCAAUCCCGGCCUAAACGCUGCCACGUCGGACUGGAAUCGAUACGGCGAGAGGACCGAGGGGGAUCCCGGCGCCGGGGGGAGGCAUCCCCGGCACUGGCCCCCCUAGGGAAAAGCGGCAGGGCUUCGGGGAGACCCUGAAUUCCCUGUGUCUGCUGCCUGUCCUUGCCUCCGCGGGAGCGGCAACACCGGCGGGGGAGCCGAUCCCGGAGCCCAGGUAAGGGAUCUGCGAGGGAAGAGGGAACCCGACCCCUUCCAUGCCCCGGCGGGCAUCCGCUCUCUGAGCGGACCCUGCUGCAUCGCUUCCCCCCAGCCCAGCUUGUCGGGUCCGGUGCGACCUCCCGCGGCCCCGGUCCAGCCCGGUCGCACUCGGUCACGGCCGCCUGCGGUCACCGAUGCCUGCGGUCGGUCCCGUUUGCCCGGAGCCGCUGGAAGCGCAGCCAGACCGGAGGCGGCUUCACACUGGAUCCCCGGGUAGCGGAUGGAGCGGCGACAUCCGCUCUCCGCGGCGCUGCCCGAUGGCAAAAUCGUCAGAAUUCAAUGGCAUGAGGGAAACGACGGAGGAAAAUCCAAGAGGGCGGAAGGCGAUGAGCGGGCGGCAGGGGCCAAGCUAGCGGCACCUACCUGGGCGGGGGUCCAGGCUCACUAUGUGGCCGCUGCGGCAAAGCGGACAGAAUGCUCCGGUUGCGGCACCCCAAGGCGAGCGGCGGCCCCGCAGCUGCUCCCUCAAUUCCAUCCGCCCGUGGGGUGGCUGGGGUUCCCGCCAGAGCUGCGGGUAAUGGAACGGGGCUUUUCCCCUUUUCCGCCUUUCUUUGUCAGCCUUUCGCCCGGGCGGGCAGCGCGUCCCCGGCGCCUCGGGCACGGAGAACAAACGCGCUCCUGCAAAAGAAUUAAUGCGAGUAUCGAGGGAGCGACUCCGGGCUGAAACGCUCAGGAGCGUCCCGGCUGUGGCAGCUCUGUGCUCCCGGGGGCCAUGGUUUGCCCUGGACUGGUAACAGCCGGAGGUGGCUGUGCUGAACUAGCGGGGACACUGCGGGAAGCGGCAGGAGGAAAAUCUCGGGGUCAGGCGCCUCUCUCGGGUCCUGAUGAGAAUAGGGCACAGGUCACCCCUCGGACCGCCGGGAGAGGCUGGUGUGGUUUGUGUCUGCAAACGGGCAAAGCAUUCGGGACCUGAAGCCUGGAAGUGAGCCCCAGCCUUUGCCCACCUGUGUGUCCACCCCAUGCCGUCUCACUGCAGCAACAGCAGCAGCAGCAAGCACUGAGAUCAACCAGGAUGGACUGGUCUGGCCAAGACGUGGCCCUGCUGGCAAAAGCUGCAGAGCGGACAGCAGAGGGAACAGCAUGGCGGUGAAGGUGCCAUCCUCCUGAAAGAGGAUCCUGGCAAAAGCAUGGCUUGAUGCAGGGGACAGCAUGCCAAAGGCAAGACAGCAGCAGACACUUGAAUGGAGACUCCUCGUGUUUACAGCCUGGUCACAGGAGCGACUGAGACCCAAUAUGUCCCUGACAUCCUCUCUGGAUGCCUGUCCUUGGAACAGCCUCAUUCAUGUCACACCUGCUCCAUUCUGCUCACAAAGCCUCCUGAGCUGCACAGGACACUGGAAAAGCACUUGGAGAUGGCUGGAGAAGGAAGGGGGCUUCUGGAAAAUGAUCUCUAAACCAGGCCCUUCCUUGUGCCGUGGCUUUUCUGGAGCUCAUUAGUAUCAGUGGUAUGUGCUUAUAUCUCAAUUCUCCAGGAUUAAUUCAAAAUGCACAGACAGUGCCAUGCCUAGGGGCUUUUCUAUUAUGUCACCAGGCUUUGGCUAAGGCCCUUACAUUUUUAAUAAACAUGA